AUUGAACGCUGGCGGCAGGCCUAACACAUGCAAGUCGAGCGGCAGCGGAAAGUAGCUUGUUACUUUGCCGGCGAGCGGCGGACGGGUGAGUAAUGUCUGGGAAACUGCCUGAUGGAGGGGGAUAACUACUGGAAACGGUAGCUAAUACCGCAUGACCUCGAAAGAGCAAAGUGGGGGAUCUUCGGACCUCACGCCAUCGGAUGUGCCCAGAUGGGAUUAGCUAGUAGGUGAGGUAAUGGCUCACCUAGGCGACGAUCCCUAGCUGGUCUGAGAGGAUGACCAGCCACACUGGAACUGAGACACGGUCCAGACUCCUACGGGAGGCAGCAGUGGGGAAUAUUGCACAAUGGGCGCAAGCCUGAUGCAGCCAUGCCGCGUGUGUGAAGAAGGCCUUAGGGUUGUAAAGCACUUUCAGCGAGGAGGAAGGCACCAUACUUAAUACGUGUGGUGAUUGACGUUACUCGCAGAAGAAGCACCGGCUAACUCCGUGCCAGCAGCCGCGGUAAUACGGAGGGUGCAAGCGUUAAUCGGAAUUACUGGGCGUAAAGCGCACGCAGGCGGUUUGUUAAGUCAGAUGUGAAAUCCCCGCGCUUAACGUGGGAACUGCAUUUGAAACUGGCAAGCUAGAGUCUUGUAGAGGGGGGUAGAAUUCCAGGUGUAGCGGUGAAAUGCGUAGAGAUCUGGAGGAAUACCGGUGGCGAAGGCGGCCCCCUGGACAAAGACUGACGCUCAGGUGCGAAAGCGUGGGGAGCAAACAGG
rnacentral:rRNA from 1 species